UCAAAGCAAGGCACUGAAAAUGCUUAGAUGGAUGUAUCAUCCCAUAAACA
rnacentral:tRNA from 1 species